rnacentral:rRNA from 1 species
CCUACGGGAGGCUGCAGUGAGGAAUAUUGGUCAAUGGGCGCGAGCCUGAACCAGCCAAGUCGCGUGAGGGAAGACGGUCCUAUGGAUUGUAAACCUCUUUUGUCGGGGAGCAAAAGACGCCACGUGUGGCGUUCCGAGAGUACCCGAAGAAAAAGCAUCGGCUAACUCCGUGCCAGCAGCCGCGGUAAUACGGGGGAUGCGAGCGUUAUCCGUAUUUAUUGGGUUUAAAGGGUGUGCAGGCGGAAGAUCAAGUCAGCGGGAAAAUUGAGAGGCUCAACCUCUUCGAGCCGUUGAAACGGGUUUUCUUGAGUGAGCGAGAAGUAUGCGGAAUGCGUGGUGUAGCGGUGAAAUGCAUAGAUAACACGCAGAACUCCGAUUGCGAAGGCAGCAUACCGGCGCUCAACUGACGCUCAUGCACGAAAGUGUGGGUAUCGAACAGGAUUAGAUACCCUAGUAGUC